AUCGCCAUCUCGCUCGACCGGGAGGAUGGAUCGUGCGCUCGUUGUGCUGCUGCUCGCUGGACAGAGAGGUGGAUCGGUGAUUGGGGAAUCCAGCCACGCCCGAUGCGGCCGAUGCGCGCGACGCACUCAAGCGGGAUCUAGACGAAGCGCACAAGCCGCGCCCGGCGACACGGGUGAUCCGUCCAUGUGACGGCAUGACGAGCACGCGAUUCCAGCGGGAUCCAAGCGACCACGACACUCUCUGGAGAGGGAUUCCGGUGCGGGAUCAAGGGGAUCGACCUGAGGCAGGACAUCCAUCCUAGAUCGACCCGAGGCGACGCGCGAGAGGAUGGAGCGGCGUCUCCGCCAUGCCCUGCUGCUAUGUAUGUACACAUGUCACAGAGUGGGAAGCUGACGGACUGGAGGAGGUAUAUAUGAAAAAAGAUCAUAUUCGGUGCACAUGCACCUGAGGUUUUGAGGGUGCUAGGAGACGAAGCAACACACAAGGAAUUUGGAAUUCUGGGUGCUUUCCAAUAUGUCCAGGGGUGAGAUCGAUUAAGGCUCAUUACGUCCGCUAUCUAUCUAUAUCUAUAAUACCUUAUGCCAUGGAGUCCGUCGGCAUGGAGCGCCUGCAACUUCAUGGGAACAACCAGCACCAAAGAGGUGCACUCUUUAAUUUGGCGGCUUGGUUCUCAGUGGUUGAAAGAUUGUCUACCGAUUAUGUGUUCAUCUCCUACUGUUAAGUACAUGACCACAAUAAAAAUCAUGGAAUCGCAAUGUUCUGUAUGUGUUGCAGCACCAUGGAUUGCCUUACUUACAUGAGCAUUGAUGCUAGCUGGUGUAACGGGAUUGUUUUGCUUACAUGAGCGCUGAUGCAACUUGGUGUAACGGGUACAAUGGGUUCAUUACUUUAGUUUUGAGAUUUGGAAGAGGGUCACUCAACAAAAGGUUAGCAUUCAUCACCAUAACUAUCUUCUGCGCACUUGUUGAGUAUCCAUGUAAUUCUGAUUAAUUCUUGCUAUUAAUGAACCCCGUAUAUUUAUAUAGUAAUGCUUGUUUUUUAACUUAAAAAUUCAUGGAGUUUCGAAGCUGCUUUCAAGGAAGUCUAUAAACUAAAUAAGUGUCUGUCAUGACAAGUAGCUCAAUGGCAUGAAAUAUUCCAUAGAGGAUGACUAUUCCAUGAUGAAACAGGAGUAGGGCUCUUCUUCACAGAUAAUUUGAAGCCGAUUGUUACAUGCAUGCUUAUUUCUUUUACUCUUUUUCUUCAUUUUUUUGGUUUCUUUGUUGCACGGCAGGCGUUCCCAAGGAAGCAAGUACUGUGAUAUGCCUAUGUGAGCAAUCCAGUGGAUUAUUGUUCUUGAUCUAAUUUCAGGUCUGUCUGCCCUAGGUACCGGAGGAUAAAGCCCAGGAAAUGAUUACAGAGGCAGUAAAAAAGUUGGUAUUGUGCUUGUAUGAAAUUGCACCUUCUAUAUGCAUGCUUGUUUUAAAGAUACUGCUAUGCUAACUGACAAUAUUUAAUUACUUCAGAGUAUAAAACCCAGAUUAUGUGAUCAGUAUAUCAGGAAGAAGAUAGACAUUGCCCGAGCUAUCAUACUGAUUACUGUGGUAGUCUAUCCUAAUCUUUGUUUGUAAUUGUGCAUAAGGUUGAUAUCUUCUCUGUUUAUGGUAAUCAAAUUAUUUUUGCCUAUAAACUACUGUACGUACAUGAUUGCUGAAAAGUAUUUACUGCAAAGAUAAAACAUAUAGCCAAACAAUCAUAGAGAUACGUGGUAUUAGAGCUUCUAAGUAAUGUAACUAUUAUGAUUGUAAACCUAUCUCCUUUUCCAGAUAUGCAUGUUAGAGAAACUCAUUUUUCUGAUAUUUAAAAGCUACUCCCUCUGUCCCAUAAUAUAAGAGUGUUUUUUAUAUUAUGGGAUGGAGGGAGUAUCUUCAUGUUCAUUAUAGGUGCAAGAUGGCUGCAAUAAUCUCCAUCCAGAACAAUGGUUGGUGUGUUUGUUCUUUGGUUAUAUAGGAUUGUACACUUGAAACAAUGUAAUGUGAACUAACAAGGUGGUUCCUGCUUUAUAUAAGAUAUCCUUCCCACAUUUUUAAAACCUUGAUGUACUAUCACUAAACCUAUGGUCCUUCGGCUAGAGUCGGUUCGAAUGGAUCUUAAGUAACUUCCAUGUUUUGUGUCAUCAUAUAUGUAUGAAUUUUCCUAUCAAUCCAUUGACAAAAUAGACGGGCACGUACCACAUUAUUUCACUAGAAAACAAUAAAAUCCACCCAUUCAACUAACCAAUGAAUGAGUUGGUUUAUGUAAAAGUAACGGUUAUGUUUUAUGUCACCAUAUAUCUAAGAAUUUUUCUAUAAAUCUAUUGACAAAAUAGACGGACACAACAACGAACGCUAUCAUGAUCUAAGGAUGGGACUAUAUAUUGUUGGUGCUAUAACACAUCAUCUCUUUUAGCAGUGUUGUGUUCUCAUGUCUUCCUAGAAAUAAUUUAACAUUAGAUCGUCAUACAAGUUUUAAAUUUGAUAGCUGGUAAUAUCCCAUAACUUAACUUAUCUAUAGUUAAAGUGAUUUCUAAAGUACACCAAUGUUAAAUUAUGAGCUUGUGAGUAAAGUUAUUAUGGACAAAUGGCACAUAUAUUUACAAACUCCUACCAUUUUAUGGUGAAAAUGGAUGAGCGCAGCAAUGCGCGCCGUCGAAGAUCUAGUGGACGUUGAUGAUCGCUUGGCAUAACAUGUACAAGGAGCAAAUUUUAGAAUUCCACACAAGAUUUCGUACUCGCUUUUGCAUGCAUUUUUGUUUGUCAUUUGAGCUUUUUAUUCAUCUGAAUGGUGAUGCAGGCAGACAUGGCGGAUGUAAGUCAUGAGUCAAUGUUGGGGUACUCUUAUAUUGCCAACAAGAUGUUUGAUAGUGAGGAUGAAGGUUAUAUAUUCUAUAAAAAAUAUGGUCUUGAGAAAGGUUUUAGUGUCCGGAGAAGCUAUGUUGAGUGGGAUGGAUCCAUUAAGGAAAAUUGUGUGUAGUCGUGAAGGGGUUCAUGAAGAGAAGCACAUGAAGAGGAAGAUGGAAGAUAGAAAGAGGAGGCCACGAAGUAUAACUCAUGUAGGGUGUAAAGCUAAAUUGGUGAUUGCAAGACAAGAGGAAACAUGUCAGUGGUUUGUGAAGGAUUUCAUCGAUGAACACAACCAUCCUCUAGCCCCACGGGGUCUUUCGUGUCUUUUGAGUUCACACAAAAGAAUUAGCGAUGAGCAAAAAACGGACAUUGCAGAAAUGGAAAAAUCUGGGAUCAGGAAACACCAUAUUAUGGAUAUUUUGUGCAUGCAAUACAGUGGAUAUGAUGAGGUUGGAUGCACGACGAGGGACAUUUACAAUUUCUGCCAUGCUAACAAGCAGGAAUCAAUCGCUUCCGGUGAUCAAUCACAUGGUGGCGCGGCGAGAGCAAGAUUCAGAUUUUUUUUCUUCAGCUACUUGGUUGAUGAUGUUGGCCAUCUAAAGGGACUUUUCUGGUGUGAUAGUCAACCCCGACUUGAAUACGAGGCUUUUGGAGACAUUAUUGUUUUUGAUAGCACAUAUAGAACCAAUAAGUACAAUCUGCCAUUUAUGUCAUUUGUCAAGUUGAGUCACCACCGCGGCACUGUUAUUUUUGGAUGUGGUAUCAUUUCUCAUGAAACAAGCCAGGCAUACGAGUGGAUGUUACAGAUCUCUUCUGAUGCCAUGGGAUAGAAGCAUCUGAUAUCUGUGAUCACGGAUGGAGACCUUGCAUUGAGAGAGCAAUCAGGGUGGUGUGGCCUGACUCAAACCAUAGGCUGUGUAUAUGGCACAUUCAGUCAUUUGCAUGAUGAGGCGCAAAGGAGGAAUUCAGAUCUUCCAUAUAUGAUACAUCUUCCAUUGAAGAGCAUGAGAGAAAAUGGUUAUAAUUCUUACAACAGAAUAAAGUAACAACUAAGGAGUCCUGGCUGCAUCAGAUGUAUAAGACGAGAAAGUUGUGGUGUGCUCCAUAUCUUGAGGGGCGUUGUUUCCUAGGAUUGAGCGGCAAUCAGCAGACUGAGAGCUUAAACUCAGUGCUACAUACACAUCUCGAGGCUAAGAUGGCGUUGUUUCAAAUGCCAUCAACAUGCAUACAUCAACAGCAUCUCGAAAUCCUUGGAUAUAUGUGUUACUCAUGUUAGCUGAUCCUUCAUAUUCCUCCGGUCGUAAUACUUCAUUGAAGUCUCGGAAACAAAGCCAUGGCAAGUCACUAACUGUACUAAUUCCUUUCAAAAUAUCCCACGUCUGGUGACGGAGAUGAGUUUGUGCCUCGCCAUAGACACAUGUGAGCCUCCACGGAUCAUGGUCAGCCUCUUCAAUCUUAGCAUCAAUGUGACAAAUGGAGUUUCCUAGAAUCUCAACUUUGCUUGUAUUAUUCCAAAACAUACCCAGGCCACCACUUCUUCCUUAGACUACUAAUAGCAUAAGAAUUAUCAUACCCUAGAGUACCCGCAAGAGCUUCUACACGUGCACCACUUAUUUGUGUCUCAACUAUACAAAGCAUGGUAGGGGUAAACUUCAUCGUGAAAUCACGAAUUUCUUGAACUGUCGCAGGUUUACCCGCCCCAUGACAGUUUCAACAAAAAGCACUCAUUGGACUUGGGCGGCGCCCCUCUAGGGAGCCCGCCAUUUUUUUUGCAAAAGUGUUGUUGCCAUAUUUCCCAUGUGUGUUCAUCUUUGAUCUCUUGGGAUCUCUCUUCAGAGGUGGACUAAGAAUUGUGUUACCUGCAAGAACUAUUGUUAAUUGGUUCCCCUCGGAGUUAGUGACAUGAACUUGAUUAGCCGAACUAGCAUCAUCCUUUGUCUUUCUGCAACAAUCUGCAUCCUGCAUGUAUACAUCUGUGGACACAGCCUCCUAGUCUUCCUCCCCUUCAAUUCCAUAGGAUUGUCCAUCCGCCAUCUUUUUGAAACCUAACCCGAAACCUGACUCGAUCGGGUGUUGCAGGAUCUCUAGUUCCUCCGAUCCCCGAGAACUGCGACCCAGGGCCAGCGGCGAUCCAAGGAUCACCCCGUAUUCUACCCGAAUCGAGAGAUCCCGAAGGAAACUCGAUCAGUGGUAGGGGAGAAAAACUCGUCGGCGGCGACAUGUUGCCCCAAGAGAACGAAGAACCCUAGCGAGAGGGGAAAUCUGUCCUCGAGCGCUCGCUUUUCCUACUGUAUUUCUUUCAAGCUAGAAGCUAAUGGUUUGGCCCGUUAUAGUAGACCCUUUGAACGAGAGUUAUGAUACGUCUCCAACUAUCUAUAAUUUUUUAUUGUUCCAUGAUAUUAUAUAAUCUAUUUUGGAUGUCUAAUAAGCAUUCAUAUGCUAUUUUAUAUUAUUUUUGGGACUAACCUAUUA